GUUUACUUACAGGUACUUAAUGAGUAUAUUGUAAUAACUGCAAACAUAAUCGCUGCCACUUUGAGUUCAGUUAGAUUUCAUCUUUUGAAAUUUGGGCAAUUGGACCUGUUUCAUUGACGUGUUUUCUUUAAUUGUUAUUCCUCAUUAACAUUGUGCACUGUUUGAUGACAUUACCCUGAAUGAAAUAUCAGGAAUUUACCUAACAACCUGACCUUUUAUUAUAAUUUAACCAAGGAAAGAUGCUUGCUUUAUUUAAGUAAUUUUGCUUCUUCAAUUCCAAUGCUAAGAUUGCUUAUCGUCUGCACUCAGUCAACUUCUGCUUUUGAAGUUGAGAAAAUCAAGGGUGCUCUAAUUCAAUAUGAUUGUGCACACAUAGAGAGACAUUUAAUAUCAUUAUAUGAUUCCUUCAUCUUUGAUUUAGUAUUUUGAUAGUCUUUCUGUCCAGGUAACCCUUGGAAUUUGCGAUCUUUGAUCUAUAAACUAUGUAUUUGAUGUUUCUAUUCCAA
rnacentral:misc_RNA from 1 species